GAUGAACGCUGGCGGCGUGCCUAAUACAUGCAAGUCGAGCGAACAGACGAGAGUGCUUGCACUCUCUGACGUUAGCGGCGGACGGGUGAGUAACACGUGGGUAACCUACCUAUAAGACUGGGAUAACUUCGGGAAACCGGAGCUAAUACCGGAUAAUAUUUAUCUUCGCAUGAAGCAAUAGUGAAAGACGGUUCUGCUGUCACUUAUAGAUGGACCCGCGGUGUAUUAGCUAGUUGGUGAGGUAACGGCUCACCAAGGCAACGAUACAUAGCCGACCUGAGAGGGUGAUCGGCCACACUGGGACUGAGACACGGCCCAGACUCCUACGGGAGGCAGCAGUAGGGAAUCUUCCGCAAUGGACGAAAGUCUGACGGAGCAAUGCCGCGUGAGUGAAGAAGGUUUUCGGAUCGUAAAACUCUGUUGUAAGGGAAGAACAAGUACGUUAGUAACUGAACGUACCUUGACGGUACCUUACCAGAAAGCCACGGCUAACUACGUG
rnacentral:rRNA from 1 species